GACGAACGCUGGCGGCGUGCUUAACACAUGCAAGUCGAACGGAAAGGCCCUGCUCUUGUGGCGUGCUCGAGUGGCGAACGGGUGAGUAACACGUGAGUAACCUGCCCUUGACUUUGGGAUAACUUCAGGAAACUGGGGCUAAUACCGGAUAGGAGCUCCUGCUGCAUGGUGGGGGUUGGAAAGUUUCGGCGGUUGGGGAUGGACUCGCGGCUUAUCAGCUUGUUGGUGGAGUAGUGGCUUACCAAGGCUUCGACGGGUAGCCGGCCUGAGAGGGUGACCGGCCACAUUGGGACUGAGGUACGGCCCAGACUCCUACGGGAGGCAGCAGUGGGGAAUAUUGCACAAUGGGCGGAAGCCUGAUGCAGCAACGCCGCGUGCGGGAUGACGGCCUUCGGGUUGUGAACCGCUUUCGCCUGUGACGAAGCGUGAGUGACGGUAAUGGGUAAAGAAGCACCGGCUAACUACGUG
rnacentral:rRNA from 1 species